rnacentral:rRNA from 1 species
AGGACGAACGCUGGCGGCGUGCUUAACACAUGCAAGUCGAGCGGUAAGGCUCCUUCGGGGGGUACACGAGCGGCGAACGGGUGAGUAACACGUGGGUGACCUGCCCUCAGCUCUGGGAUAAGCCUGGGAAACCGGGUCUAAUACCGGAUAGGACUGCUUGCCGCAUGGUGGGUGGUGGAAAGUUUUUUCGGCUGGGGAUGGGCCCGCGGCCUAUCAGCUUGUUGGUGGGGUGAUGGCCUACCAAGGCGGUGACGGGUA